rnacentral:rRNA from 1 species
GGACCUUCGGGCCUCUUGCCAUCGGAUGUGCCCAGAUGGGAUUAGCUAGUAGGUGGGGUAACGGCUCACCUAGGCGACGAUCCCUAGCUGGUCUGAGAGGAUGACCAGCCACACUGGAACUGAGACACGGUCCAGACUCCUACGGGAGGCAGCAGUGGGGAAUAUUGCACAAUGGGCGCAAGCCUGAUGCAGCCAUGCCGCGUGUAUGAAGAAGGCCUUCGGGUUGUAAAGUACUUUCAGCGGGGAGGAAGGGUGUAAAGUUAAUACCUUUGCUCAUUGACGUUACCCGCAGAAGAAGCACCGGCUAACUCCGUGCCAGCAGCCGCGGUAAUACGGAGGGUGCAAGCGUUAAUCGGAAUUACUGGGCGUAAAGCGCACGCAGGCGGUUUGUUAAGUCAGAUGUGAAAUCCCCGGGCUCAACCUGGGAACUGCAUCUGAUACU